rnacentral:rRNA from 1 species
AGGCCUUGCGGCGGCUACCAUGCAAGUCGAGCGGAACGAUACCAGCUUGCUGGUAGGCGUCGAGCGGCGGACGGGUGAGUAAUACUUAGGAAUCUACCUAGUAGUGGGGGAUAGCUCGGGGAAACUCGAAUUAAUACCGCAUACGACCUACGGGAGAAAGGGGGCAGUUUACUGCUCUCGCUAUUAGAUGAGCCUAAGUCGGAUUAGCUAGAUGGUGGGGUAAAGGCCUACCAUGGCGACGAUCUGUAGCUGGUCUGAGAGGAUGAUCAGCCACACCGGGACUGAGACACGGCCCGGACUCCUACGGGAGGCAGCAGUGGGGAAUAUUGGACAAUGGGGGAAACCCUGAUCCAGCCAUGCCGCGUGUGUGAAGAAGGCCUUUUGGUUGUAAAGCACUUUAAGCAGUGAAGAAGACUCCUCGGUUAAUACCCGUGGACGAUGACAUUAGCUGCAGAAUAAGCACCGGCUAACUCUGUGCCAGCAGCCGCGGUAAUACAGAGGGUGCAAGCGUUAAUCGGAAUUACUGGGCGUAAAGCGAGCGUAGGUGGCUUGAUAAGUCAGAUGUGAAAUCCCGGGCUUAACCUGGGAACUGCAUCUGAAACUGUUAGGCUAGAGUAGGUGAGAGGAAGGUAGAAUUCCAGGUGUAGCGGUGGAAUGCGUAGAGAUCUGGAGGAAUACCGAUGGCGAAGGCAGCCUUCUGGCAUCAUACUGACACUGAGGCUCGAAAGCGUGGGUAGCAAACAGGAUUAGAUACCCUGGUAGUCCACGCCGUAAACGAUGUCUACUAGUCGUUGGGUCCCUUGAGGACUUAGUGACGCAGCUAACGCAAUAAGUAGACCGCCUGGGGAGUACGGCCGCAAGGGUUAAAACUCAAAUGAAUUGACGGGGGCCCGCACAAGCGGUGGAGCAUGUGGUUUAAUUCGAUGCAACGCGAAGAACCUUACCUGGUCUUGACAUAUCUAGAUCCUGCAGAGAUGCGGGAGUGCCUUCGGGAAUUAGAAUACAGGUGCUGCAUGGCCUGUCGUC